rnacentral:rRNA from 1 species
AAUUGGCGAAGAAGCCGUUGUGGGGGCGGGGAGCGUUGUCCUUACGGAUGUGUCUGCGAAGGAACGGGUAGCCGGCAUACCCGCCAGGAGACUGGAUGGCUGAUCGCGGGU